rnacentral:rRNA from 1 species
UACGGAGGGUGCAAGCGUUAUCCGGAUUUACUGGGUUUAAAGGGUGCGUAGGUGGAUAAUUAAGUCAGUGGUGAAAUCUUCAGGCUUAACCUGGAAACUGCCAUUGAUACUAUUUAUCUUGAAUACUUUGGAGGUAAGCGGAAUAUGUCAUGUAGCGGUGAAAUGCUUAGAUAUGACAUAGAACACCAAUUGCGAAGGCAGCUUACUACACAGUUAUUGACACUGAGGCACGAAAGCGUGGGGAUCAAACAGG